ACUGAACGCUGGCGGCAGGCCUAACACAUGCAAGUCGGGCGAGCGGCGGACGGGUGAGUAAUGUAUGGGGAUCUGCCUGAUGGCGGGGGAUAACUACCGGAAACGGUAGAUAAUACCGCAUACCAGCGGAUGAACCCAUAUGGGAUAAGUUUGUAGGUGAUGUAACGGCUCACCUAGGCGCAGAAGCCUAGCUGGUCUGUGAGGAUGAUCAUCCACAAUGGAACUGAGACAUGACCCAGGGUCCUGCGUGAGGCAGCAGUCGGGAAUAUUGCACAAUUGGAGGAAACCGGAUUCAGCCAUGCCGCGUGUAUGAAGGAGGCCUUCGGGUUGAGAAGUACUUUCAGUCGGGGGGCGUUGCCCGCGGGAGAAGCACCGGCUAACACCGUGCCGGCAGCCGCGGUAAUAC
rnacentral:rRNA from 1 species